rnacentral:lncRNA from 1 species
CCUGAAGCCACAGGGCUCUUCUCGCAGUCCCUAUUUCCCUACGUGGGAGCAUUUCCAACCGUCUCGUCUGAGUCUCUUCUCCCUGUGGCUUUGAGGCUAAGCGGAGCACAGAGGAGCUGAUGAGGACGUCUUCAGAGAGAAGAGGCUGACUGAGGCACACAAACAACGGCAGCGAGGACACCUGUCCCCAAACUCCCAGGGCAGAGAUCCAUGUUGACAGUCCGUGAGACCCAUCACAUCACUGUCACAGCCCCGGGCCAGUCAGAACAGUGAUGGAGUGACUCCAGAGGGAGAGAGGGAACAAGAGAACGACAGAUCACAUCGGACUCAUCA